rnacentral:lncRNA from 1 species
AUAAAUGAGCAUCCAUGACUCACCGCACAUGAUCUUCCUCAAAAUCAAUAAUAUCAAAAACAUCUUGCCAAUAACAAAUAUUAGAAGAAUACCAUACUAAUUAAAUAUUCACAGUAUAAUUUAUUUUACCUAUAAAUAGGUGUAGAAAAUCUCUCUCUGAGUCGGUACAAUGUGAUGCCAAUCGAAAAGUAUCACGGGAGCAUAGCUGCGGCAUAUGAUGCCCAGCUCGGUCUGCCAUGGCUCGCACCAUCUCCUAAUGGGCCUAGUGUAGCCAGGUGGUAUCUCGAUACGGAGAUGUUGUCUCGGAUGCUCACAUC